CAAUUAAUUAAAAGAAAACUACCAAACUAAGAAGCUGCCAACAUCCCAUCAUCUAAUCUAAUCAACUUCUUCAUUUUAAAUGGAAAUAAAAAAAACAAAGAACCAACACAUCCCAUCUCUUCUCCAUUUUUUCUUUUCAUUCAAUAAAACCAAAAAGAGGGAAAAAGAAAAUGUUACUUCCUCCAACGUCUGCAGCAGCG
rnacentral:lncRNA from 1 species